rnacentral:misc_RNA from 1 species
GGACAAUUCAAAAGAUCAUACAUAAUCUACAAAGCGAAAAUAAGAUAAAGUAUGAUGUGUUCAAUCAUUCAACAACACCGUAUCAUGAUGGCCUCCAUUCACAUUAUUUAUUUUGAAGACUACAGAGAAAUUAUACCAAUUACUUGCUUUCACUUCUUUAAAAAGAAGGGGGGAAAAACACAUAACCCACAAUAUCCAGAAAAUUAAUUCCAUAGAAUUGGUAUGUACCAACAAGCAAUCAAAUAAUAGCUGAUUUGGUAG